rfam:Glycine max cultivar Williams 82 chromosome 3, whole genome shotgun sequence.
ACCACAUGUGCAAAAGCCAACAAAAAAAGAUCAAGUACAGCAUCUAUUUUUUUUUAUCAAUUUAAUAUUUGAUAUGUGAACUAUUUGGUUAUUAAAUUUAUUUUUUUAGGGAGAGGGCCCUUGACAGUAGCUUGCUACUUGGAUUCUCAUGUGUUGCCCAUGCCUUACACUAAAGUAGUGGCCUGGCACAUCCCAC